rnacentral:rRNA from 1 species
UACGUAGGGGGCAAGCGUUGUCCGGAUUUAUUGGGCGUAAAGAGCGUGUAGGCGGCUUUGCAAGUCCGUUGUGAAAACUCGAGGCUCAACCUCGAGAUGUCGGCGGAAACUGUCUGGCUAGAGUCCGGAAGAGGAGAGUGGAAUUCCUGGUGUAGCGGUGGAAUGCGCAGAUAUCGGGAGGAACACCUGAGGCGAAGGCGGGCUACUGGGCCGAUACUGACGCUGAUGUGCGAAAGCCAGGGGAGCGAACGGG